GAUGGACGCUGGCGGCGUGCCUAAUACAUGCAAGUCGAGCGAACAGACGAGGAGCUUGCUCCUUUGACGUUAGCGGCGGACGGGUGAGUAACACGUAGGUAACCUACCUAUAAGACUGGGAUAACUUCGGGAAACCGGAGCUAAUACCGGAUAAUAUUUCGAACCGCAUGGUUCGAUAGUGAAAGAUGGCUUUGCUAUCACUUAUAGAUGGACCUGCGCCGUAUUAGCUAGUUGGUAAGGUAACGGCUUACCAAGGCAACGAUACGUAGCCGACCUGAGAGGGUGAUCGGCCACACUGGAACUGAGACACGGUCCAGACUCCUACGGGAGGCAGCAGUAGGGAAUCUUCCGCAAUGGGCGAAAGCCUGACGGAGCAACGCCGCGUGAGUGAUGAAGGUCUUCGGAUCGUAAAACUCUGUUAGUAGGGAAGAACAAACGUGUAAGUAACUGUGCACGUCUUGACGGUACCUAAUCAGAAAGCCACGGCUAACUACGUG
rnacentral:rRNA from 1 species